UACGCGACGAGUUUGACUCCGUGGCUACGAGGACGAACGCUGGCGGCGUGCUUAACACAUGCAAGUCGAACGGAGUUUCUUGGAUCAAGACUUCGGUCAAGUGAAUUGAAACUUAGUGGCGGACUGGUGAGUAACGCGUGAGGAACCUGCCUUUCAGAGGGGGACAACAGUUGGAAACGACUGCUAAUACCGCAUGAUGCAUUUGGGUCGCAUGGCUCGAAUGCCAAAGAUUUUAUCGCUGAAAGAUGGCCUCGCGUCUGAUUAGCUAGUUGGUGAGGUAACGGCCCACCAAGGCGACGAUCAGUAGCCGGUCUGAGAGGAUGAACGGCCACAUUGGGACUGAGAUACGGCCCAGACUCCUACGGGAGGCAGCAGUGGGGAAUAUUGGGCAAUGGGGGAAACCCUGACCCAGCAACGCCGCGUGAAGGAAGAAGGCCUUCGGGUUGUAAACUUCUUUUACCAGGGACGAACACAAUGACGGUACCUGGAGAAAAAGCAACGGCUAACUACGUG
rnacentral:rRNA from 1 species